rnacentral:rRNA from 1 species
AUUGAACGCUGGCGGCAGGCCUAACACAUGCAAGUCGAACGAGUGGCGGACGGGUGAGUAAUGUCUGGGAAACUGCCUGAUGGAGGGGGAUAACUACUUGAAACGGUAGCUAAUACCGCAUACCCUCCGAGUUGCCCAGCUGGGAUUAGCAAGUAGGGGGGGUAACGGCUCACAUAGGCGACGAUCCCUAGCGGGUCUGAGAGGAUGACCAGCCAAACGGGAACUGAGACACGGUCCAGACUCCUACGGUGGGCAGCAGUGGGGAAUAUUGCACAAUGGGCGCAAGCCUGAUGCAGCCAUGCCGCGUGUAUGAAGAAGGCCUUCGGGUUGUAAAGUACUUUCAGCGGGGAGGCGUUACCCGCAGAAGAAGCACCGGCUAACUCCGUGCCAGCAGCCGCGGUAAUAC